UGAGGAAGUGAGCUAGCUGAUUGUUAGGACUCAGUGUUGCAGUUAGCAGGGUGGGAGACGUGUGUCUGUAGUUUGCUUCCUGUGUGACCUUUGAGCCCACAUUCCUGUCCGUCUGCUGCUAAAGACCUACUCCACAGUGUCUACAGAGGAUGAAGGAAGAAAACGAAGAGGAACAAGACGCUGGAUCCAGUUUUAUGGCAAAAAACGUUUGGACAUGCCCAGAUAAAGCUGUAGGGGACUUGGAUAUCUUCGGAUUCUCCAGCUCAGAAUGUCAGCAGCUAAGACAGCGAGGUCAGUCUGCUGGAUCCAGCUGUGAGUCCGUCAGGAGUGACUUCUCCAAAGAUCUGCCCAUAAACUUCAGAGAAGCCCCUGGACUCUCAGAACGUCAGCUGCUAAGACAGCAAGGUCAGUCUGCAGGUCCCAGCUGUGAGUCGGUAAAGAGCGACUUCUCCAAAGAUCUGCCUAUAAACUUCAGAGAAGCCCCUGGACCUUCAGAAUGUCAGCAGUCUGCAGGACCCAGCUGUGAGUCAGUAAAGAGUGACUUCUCCAAAGACCUGCCUAUAAACUUCAGAGAAGCCCCUGGACCCUCAGAAUACCUGCAGCUAAGACAGCGAGGUCAGUCUACAGGUGAGUCGGUAAAGAGCGACUUCUCCAAAGACCUGCCUAUAAACUUCAGAGAAGCCCCUGGACACGUUCUGUCACAAAGAAAGGAGGAGGAGAGGCUGCCCGGCUGUGAUCUGUGCCAGGAUGUCCUGGAGGAUCCAGUUUCAAUCAGCUGUGAGCAUCGGUUCUGCAGGCAGUGCAUCACCUCAUCCUGGGGCCAAUAUUCACCUUCUUCUGGACUUUUAUCCUGUCCCCAGUGUGGGGAAAGAUCCAAAAACACAGAUGCUAGUCUCCCGGAGCUUUUAGAUGAACAUCAGAUUAGUCUGAGGAGGAGAUUUGAACAGGUGGUUGAAGGAACAGAAGAAGGAGAAAGAAGAUCACUUCUCAACAGGAUUUAUACAGAGCUGUACAUCACAGAGGGACUGAGAGAGGAGGUUCACACCGAACAUGAAGUGAGUCAGCUGGAGACAGCCUACAAAACCAGCAGGCUUCAUGAUGCUCCAAUCAAAAACAAAGACAUUCUCAAAGCCUUACCAGGCGAACAUGGAUCCAUCAGAGUGGUUCUAACGAGUGGUGUGGCUGGAGCUGGAAAAAGCUUCUCAGUGCAGAAGUUCACUCUGGACUGGGCUGAAGGCUCAGAGAACCAAGACAUCCAUGCUGUGGUUCCUCUGUCAUUCAGGGAGGUGAACUUGAUCAGAGAUGAGCAGCACAGUAUUCUCUCAUUGAUUCAGCUGUUCCAUCCAACACUCCAGAAGAUCCCAGCAGAACAGCUGUCUGUCUGGAAACUUCUGUUCAUCUUUGAUGGUCUUGAUGAAAGCAGACUUUCUCUAGAAUUCAAUAACAGUGAGGUGGUGUCUGAUGUUACACAGAAGUCCCCAGUCAGUGUUCUAUUGACAAACCUCAUCCAGGGGAAUCUGCUUCCCUUAGCUCAGGUCUGGAUCACAUCAAGACCUGCAGCAGCCAAUCAGAUUCCUCCUUCAUGUGUGAACAGGCUGACAGAAGUACGAGGCUUUAAUGAUGCUCAGAAGGAGGAGUACUUUAGAAGGAGGUUCCCUGAUGAAAACAUGUCCAACAGAAUCAACUCUCACAUCAGGAACUCCAGGAGCCUCUACAUUAUGUGUGAAGUUCCAGUCUUCUGCUGGAUCACUGCUGUGGUACUGGAGCACAUUUUGACAACAGAGCAGAUAGGAGAGCUGCCCACCACCCUGACUGACAUGUACUCGCACUUCCUGAUAGUCCAAACAAAGAGGAAGAAGAACAAGUACCAGCAGGAACAUGAGAAGGGUCCACAGGAGCUCAUAGAGGGUGACAAUGAAGUUCUUCUGAAGCUGGGAAAGCUGGCCUUUGACAAUCUGGAGAAAGGAAACAUCAUGUUCUAUCAAGAAGACCUGGAGCAGUGUGGUCUGGAUGUCACAGAGGCAUCUGUGUACUCUGGAGUUUGUACUGAGAUCUUCAGAAGAGAGUGUGAGAUCUUCCAAAAACCAGUCUACAGCUUUGUCCAUCUGAGCGUUCAGGAAUUCCUGGCUGCAGUCUACAUGUUCCACUGUUAUGUCAAAAGGAACAAGGAGGUGAUAGAAGGAUUCAUGAAAUAUGACGUGAACAGCCUAGCUCUAGACGAGUUUUUGAGCAGAGUCAUGGAGAAAUCUCUGCAGAGCAGAACCGGACACCUGGACCUUUUUGUACGCUUCCUCCAUGGCCUCUCUAUGGAUUCCAACCAGAAAAUCUUAGGAAGCCUUCUGGGUCGCACAAGCAAGAACCAAAAAAAUGUUCAGGCAGUCAUCCAGAGGAUGAAAAAGAUCAGUGUUAAAAUGUCUCCCGACAGAGGCAUCAACAUCUUUCACUGUCUGAUGGAGAUGAAGGAUCGUUUAGUUCAUCAGGAGAUCCAACAAUUUCUGAAGUCAGAGAACCAAUCAGAAAAGAAACUUUCAGAUAUCCACUGCUCAGCUCUGGCAUACAUGCUGCAGAUGUCGGAGGAAGUUCUGGAUGAAUUGGACCUGAACAGAUACAACGCAACGCCAGAUGGUCGUCGAAGACUUAUCCCAGCUGUGAGGAACUGCAGGAAAGCCUGGCUCUCUGGCUGUGGACUCUCAGAGACUCACGUGGAAGUUGUGGCCUCAGCUCUGAAGUCCAACCUGGGGCAUCUGACUGAACUGGACCUGAGUAAAAACAAAGUUAAGGAUAUGGGGAUGGAGGCACUGUCUGCUGGACUGGAGAGAUCAAACUGCAAACUGGAGACUUUGAGGUUGGUUGGCUGCAGCUUAUCUGAGCUGACCUGUGCUGCCUUGAGCUCAGCUCUGAAAUCCAACCCGUCCCACCUGACAGAACUGGACCUGAGCAAGAACAUGCUGCAGGACGUAGGAGUGGAGCACCUUAGUUGGUUUCUGCAGAAUCCAGACUGCAGAUUGAAAACUCUGAGGUUGAUGGAAUGCGGCUUGUCAGGGCUGAGCUGUGCUGCCCUGAGCUCAGCUCUAAAAUCCAACCCGUCCCAUCUGACUGAACUGGACCUGAGCAAGAACAUGCUGCAGGACGUGGGAGUGGAGCACCUUAGUGGGUUUCUGCACAAUCCUGACUGCAGAUUGAAAACUCUGAGAUUUUCUACUGCGUUGAUGCUGCAGGUUGGUAGAGUGCGAGUUGUCAGAGAUCAGCUGUGCUGUCCUGGCUUCAGCUUUGAGGUCCAAUCCGUUUCACCUGAAAGACCUGGACCUGGGUUGCAACAGUCUUCAGGACUCUGGAGUGCAGCAGCUGGCCAGUUUUCUGCAGAGUCCAGACUGUACACUGAAUGCUCUGAGGUUGGACAUCUGCAGUUUUUCGGAGUAUGGCUGUGCUGCUCUGGCCUCAGCUCUAACAAUUAGUCCAUCCCAUCUGCUAGAACUGGAUCUGAGUUGCAACAAAAACCUGAAGGAUGCAGGACUGCAGCAUCUGUGCACUUACCUUCAGCAUUGUGGAUGCAGGCUGAAGAAACUGAGGAUGGCGGAAUGUGGGCUGUCAGAAAUGAGCUGUGCAGCUCUGGACUCUGCUCUGAAGUCCAACCCAUCCUACCUGGAAGAGCUAGACCUGACCAUGAACUCUCUGAAGGAUGCAGGACUGGAGCAGUUGUUUGGUAUUCUGAAGAAUCCACACUGCGGACUGAAGACUCUGAAGCUGGAGCUCUGCUAUAUGUCAGAGCCUGGUUGUGCUGUUUUGGCCUCAGCUCUGAAGUCAAACCCAUCCCAGCUGACAAAACUGGUCCUAGAUCGGAACCUAAUUGAAGAUCAGGGUCUGCAGCGUCUGUGUGAUUUUCUGGAGAGUCCAAGAUGCACACUGCAGGCUCUGAGCGUGGAAUCCUGUGGUUUGACAGAGAUCAGUUGUACUGCUCUGCUCUCAGCUCUGAAGUCCAACCCAUCCCACCUGGCAUUUCUAGACCUGAGCAGAAAUGACUUAAAGGCUUCACAAGUGAAGAAGCUGGAAGACCUGUUGAAGAAUCCACACUACAAACUGGAGACUCUAAGAUGGAAGGCGUGGACCUGACAAAAAAACUGCACCACAUGGAUCAUUCAGAUGCUCGGACGCGGCAGUGGCAAAAGAUGUGUACUGGAAAAAUACCACAAUGACUCAAAAGUCAGUAAAUCUCUAAGAAAAAUUGGGGUGGGGAGCUUUAAAUCGUAAAGAACAUACCAACAUGGCUUCAUCCACUCUGUCACAGGUAACUGUUUAUCUGGCUGUUUUUAAUAAAUUCUUUUUUGAAAAAGGAA